rnacentral:rRNA from 1 species
GUACACGCUGUGACUAGCAUAUCAAUAAGCGGAGGAAAAGAAACUAACAAGGAUUCCCCUAGUAACGGCGAGUGAAGCGGGAAGAGCUCAAAUUUGAAAUCUUAAAGGGUUUCCCUUUACGAAUUGUAGUUUAAAGAAGUGUUUUCUGUUGAGGUUUUGGUAAAAGUUCUUUGGAAUAGGACAUCAUAGAGGGUGAGAAUCCCGUAUUUGACCUUUACUUUCAACUUUGUGAUACACUUUCAAAGAGUCGGAUUGUUUGGGAAUGCAGUCCAAAAUGGGUGGUAAAUUUCAUCUAAAGCUAAAUAUUGGCGAGAGACCGAUAGCGAACAAGUACCGUGAGGGAAAGAUGAAAAGAACUUUGAAAAGAGAGUUAAACAGUACGUGAAAUUGUCAAAAGGGAAGCGUUUGACACCAGUGUUGUUUUUCUGAAAAUCAAUUAAAGAACUGUUUAUGCUAAGCUGUUUAGACUUUAUCAGCUAAUCUGUUUAGUUUUGAGCUUUUCUUUAAUGCACUUUUCAGUUAACAAGUCAACAUCAAUUUCUUUUGCUGUAAAAAAGCUUGAGGAAGGUGGCUUGAGAUUCGUCUUAAGUGUUUAUAGCCUCUUGCCUAUGCAGUCGGAGAGAUUGAGGUCUGCAGCGUAGAUCCUUCGGGGCUAAAUGCAUUUGUGCUAAGUUAUAGCAUUUUAUAGACAACUUGUUGACCAUGAUUUGUCUUGUAGCUUACUCGCUUAUGUUAUUUUACCUACGCUUAGGAUGUUGAAGAUGUAGCACAUCAU